ensembl:miRNA
GACUCAGAAGACAGAGUGCCACUUACUGAAAGGUUUUUUUCUCUCGGUAAAUGGCACUCUGUCUUCUGAGUU